AAGCUGUGUGCUAUUACAAAACAGAUCGUUAAAUGUUUUAUUUUAUGUCGCCUUUCAAUUCCCUCAAUGUUAAGCCUAUAAAGUUUGCAAAUAUGUAUUUUCUUAGGAAGAAACCUUUGUUUAUAUGUAGAGAAAAUUUUUUAUUUCGCAGCGCAAUCAGAGGAGAUAGAGAUAUCUUUCGCGUGUAAGUUUAAAUCCAAAACGCUAACUAACUUAAUGUGAUAGAAAGCCAACCAAGAGGCUGAAUUCGUAGAUUGUAAGGAAUAUGGGUAUUAUCAAAUGACGAAGAUUAGAUUACGCCGCCGUCCUUAAUAUAAAUUAAUGAUAAGUAUAUGAACGGAUGCACAAUAGAGAUAAUUGAUAAAAACUUGGCUGUGCAGCUGACCUGAUUCUCAAAAGCUUUACUUGAGGUAUAGAUAAAGCAACGAAAUAAGAUAUUUUCGCUAAGUCUGCAAGUACGAGAAAUCGGGCGUAGGCUGAUCUAUGUGCAAAACGGUAUGUUAACUCAAAAGCCAAAAUAUAGGAUGAUAGAGUAAACUCGUAUAAUCAAUAUGAGUCAAAAAAAAGUAUGAAUGGAAUGCAGGGUAAUGCUUUUUGAACGAACAAUCAAAGAAAUGAAGGAGGAAAACAGUGCGAAUUGAAGUUAACAAACGAAUGGAAAAGAUGAAUAUCGACGAUAAAACAAACGUGUAAUGCCAAACAAAAUAGAAAAAAAUGAAAUGUAGAAAAACUCAAGAAAAAGACAGUGUGGACUUUGGUAAAAGCUAGUGAUCAAUUAAUUUCCGGAUCCAAAAGAAACGGAUAGAUGCAAACAAUGGUGUCGAAAGUAAUGUCGACUCCUACAAGAAACUAAUUAGUCGUAUCAAAAAUUGAUUUUGAUAAUUGAUGAACUUUGCUUAGGUUUUAUAGUUAAACUAGUUUGCUUGGAAUAGGUCGAUAACGGGUCGUCCAUUUCGUCUUUCAAUAUAACAAGCUAUUAACUAUACUUGUUUUCAUUCAUUUUUUUUGAUAGGAAGCUCACCGCGGCAAGCCUUUUUGUAGUUUUCUGUUGAUUUCGUGGUUUUGUUGUCGCAUCUAUUUUUUUGAGUUUAAAGUUGUCAAGAUAAAAAUAAGGCCAGCAGUUGAACACAUCGCUUAAUCUUAUCAGUUAGUUUUUCACGUAAGUAAAAAGAGUUUUCGACGAAGAUUCUCAAGUAGUGUUUUGGUUUUA